UGCUCUGUACAGUGGCAGUAUCGUAGCCUGUGAGGUUUGGCCGAGGCAGGAUUAUUGCUAGCUGAAAACUUUCUCUUCAUAUCCUCUUGUAUCGUUUCGUUACACUGUGCUGUGUUGACUGUGCUAAGCUGCUGUUGCACCUCACGGGAUCAAGAAAGUA
ensembl:snRNA U4 U4 spliceosomal RNA